ACACACUCUCCCUUUGAAUUUUCUGCAUUAAGCAGAAAACCAGCUUAUCUUUCUUCAGCAGAUGCUGCAAGUUAUAACUUUGAAUUAGACGAGUCAGGGACCUUCUCGAAAUGAACCAGCCACCCUGUGUUUCUUGCAAACCAGUGGAAGCACUCACAAGAAGAUAGAUCAAGGUGAAACCUUCGGAUUCGGAAGAACCAACCCAACAAAUCUUGUGAACAAAAAACACGGAACUAUUUUGUCAGUUUUCCCACUAUCCAGAGUGCCAGAAAACCAGAUGCCCGGAGUUACCCAGAUAUUUGCCCUCGUCACUCAAAUGCCAGAUGCCCGCUGAGGAAGUCAGGCAGCUUCAAGGGCAAAAUAUCAUGAGGUUAAACAGGUUUAAUUAACAGCAGGUGUUGUUCCUUAUACAGUGCUUUGAGCCAACCCUGACCAGAAGCAAGGCUCAGAGUGUUCUGGAGACGAGGUGCUGGUGCAGACUGGGUUGAAAGAACUGUAAAACUGAACAUUUUAUUUCUUUCUUUUUCUGACUUAUUUUUGUAGUUUUGUACUUUUCACCUAAGAUGGCACAAAAGUCUGUAAUGCUGGAAUUUUUAUUUCUUUUCUUUUUCCAAUUUUUUUUUCCUAAGAAUUUGUACUUAAGAAUCUGUACCUAGGUACCUUUGCCCCUAAGAUGGCACCGUAAGUACAGACUUGUAAAUUUUCACUGUACAUAUGAGUGCAUGUGACAAUAAACCUAGCUCCAAAAUAACAUA